rnacentral:rRNA from 1 species
GACAGAGGGUGCAAACGUUGUUCGGAAUUACUGGGCGUAAAGCGCGUGUAGGCGGCUAAGUAAGUCGGGCGUGAAAUCCCACGGCUCAACCGUGGAAGUGCACUCGAAACUGCGUAGCUAGAGUCCUGGAGAGGAAGGUGGAAUGCUUGGUGUAGAGGUGAAAUUCGUAGAUAUCAAGCGGAACACCGGUGGCGAAGGCGGCCUUCUGGACAGUGACUGACGCUGAGGAGCGAAAGCCAGGGGAGCAAACGGG